rnacentral:lncRNA from 1 species
GGCCUUGCUCUUAUGUCAUCUGACUAAAAGUUUCAUAGACCAAAGAUAACCAUCCAACCUGUUGGAAUACUGAAACAAUUGCUGCCUGCUUUCCACACACUACAUAAAAUAUGUGGAUAUCCUAAAUUCUACAAAAAAAGAUUUGUAAGCAGAUCAAGCAAUACAGGGACUCCCUCUUCUCCAGAAGAGACAUCCUGGCCUCCAUGCAGAGGAAUGUGUGGAUGGACAUAUAUUUAAGGAAGACACUAAACCAGAAAAUACUACAUUACACCCUCUUAAAAGACUUCUAAGAUUGUUGUCAUGCCUACCACUGACAUUCAGAUGAUGUGUAUUCUUGAUUGUGAUUUCAUGUUUGGAGCUGAUGAAGGAGUUUGAAGUCUCCAGAGCAGCAAGGAGAGUGGGGAGUAGAACUCAUCAUCUUUAGGUCACUCAUCCCCG